AAAGGUCAAACUGCUUGACACAGUGACACUUGUCAAAGUAGAUAUGUUUGACCAUAUAGAACAAAAAAGAACACCGCAAAGUAGAUUCAAGUGUAAAAAUUACUUAAUCUAGCAUCUACCAUUGGAGUGUAGCUAACAAGGAAUCAGUUUCUCCAUUACUACUACUACCAUGAUUGUGUUGUACUCUUAUUGGUUAAGCUCAUGCUCAUGGCGUAUCCGCUUUGCUUUGUGCCUCAAAGGGAUUCCUUAUGAGUAUAAAGCAGUGGAUCUUGUAAAAGGGGAACAGUUUAGUCCAGAGUUUGAGAAAUUGAACCCUCUCCAUUGUGUUCCGGUAUUAGCUGAUGAUCAUGUGGUGGUUUCAGACUCUUAUGCAAUCUUUCUGUAUUUGGAGGAAAAGUAUACUCAAAAGCCACUUUUGCCAGUUGAUCCUCAGAUCCGAGCUCUCAAUCUUCAGAUAGCAAGUAUGAUUAACUCCAGCAUUCAACCUUAUCAUAUGAUUAGUGCUUUGAAAGAUAUGGAGAAAAUGUUUGGUGCUGAAACAAAACAGUGGGCACAAUAUAAGAUUGACAAAGGUUUCUGGGCUCUUGAGAAGUUAUUGAAGGAUGUUGCUGGAAAAUAUGCAACAGGGGAACAUAUCUACAUGGCUGAUGUAUUCUUGGCUCCACAGAUUAUGCAAGCAGUUAAUAGGUUUGAUAUUGAUAUGGUAAAGUAUAGAGUAAAUAGACAAAAGUAUACGUGAUAGAAUGUGGGAUAGACUAAAGUACACACACAAGAUUGUAAACAUCAAAGUACACCCGGAAAAUUGUUUUCGAUGGACAACAUUGUCAUGCCGUUAGUGAUUUUGUAAGACUUAGGAGUGUAUUUUUGUCCUUUGAAAUCAGUAUUUUGGGUGUGAUUUCAUAUUUACGAACUUUGGUGCGUAAUUUUGUCAACGACAAACUCUUUCAUGUGUAAUUUUGUUCAUUUAUUCAAAAGUAUAUAUACAUCUCGUGGUUUAUUGAUACAAUUCUCUUAUUUGUGGUUUACAUAGAAAAGCUAGGUGUAUAAGUGAUUUCUGACCCGCACAAACAUACUUGGCUUUUCUUAAUAUUUCAGAAGUGUUGUCAAAUCAUAUAAAAGUGUUGGAUAUACUUGAUUGGAAGUGAGUCAAGUCAGCUCAUGAGCCAGUUCGAACUCGACUCGUCAAUAGCUCGAUAAGUGAAUUCGUGAGCUGUCCAAAUACCCUACUCUGAGGAGGUUGUCUGAAACAUACAAAGGUUUAGCAGAGUUCCAUGCCUCAUCACCACAAAGUCAACCUGAUGCUUGCAUUACCAAUAAUAACCUUUGACUAGCUAGUCAAUAGUUAUUAUGUAGAGAUCUUCUAUAUCUUCAUUCUGUAGGGAAUAUUGUUGCUGUAAACUUGUAAUAUUUUGAAUUUGUUAAUGG